rnacentral:rRNA from 1 species
UACGUAGGUGGCAAGCGUUGUCCGGAUUUACUGGGCGUAAAGAGCGCGCAGGCGGUCGUGCAAGUCGCGUGUGAAAGCCCUCGGCUCAACUGGGGAGGGUCACGCGAUACUGUUCGACUUGAAGGCAGGAGAGGGAAGUGGAAUUCCCGGUGUAGUGGUGAAAUGCGUAGAUAUCGGGAGGAACACCAGUGGCGAAGGCGACUUCCUGGCCUGUUCUUGACGCUGAGGCGCGAAAGCUAGGGUAGCAAACGGG